GUUGAUUAUGAUGAUGAUGAUGCUUAUCUUACAUCCAUGUCGACUGGCUGCUGUGUGAGCGUUGUGUUUUUCCAUAGCCAUUAAAGAGGCUUCCUGAGCGCGCCAGUGAGGCCAGCACAUAGCAAACCCGGAGGGAAAUAAGUGCUCUUUCACGUACUUUGACAAAAAGGUACGUUUUCAAUCUCGUUUGAUGACAUUCCACCUCAUGUGUGGCAAUACACACAAGAAGAAGAAGAAGAAGAAGAAGAAGAAGAAGAAGAAGAAGAAGAAGAAGAAGAAGAUUUAAUUGUAAACUAUUUUUAAUCUUUGAUUUUAUUAAUAAUAAAUAUUGGAAAGCAUGAUUAGUGUAUUGUACAUUUUGUUUUAUUUUAUAACAAUACUUUUGAGAUUGUUGUGAAUAAAAUUACUAUGCAAUUUAUCAUAUUGAUAAGAAAGAUAUGUAUAUACAUAAUAUACUGCUCUUAAAAUACUUGAUAGAGCAAUCUUAAAUGAAAGCAAAGAAUAAAAAUUUGGAAAUAAUUUUGUAGUUGUAAAAGUCAAUCUAUAAGACAAUGUUGCGGCAUUGGUCGCUUUUGUGAACUGUAUUAUGAAACAUUGUUAUUUGUUUGUUGUUGUUUUUUUUGUUGUUGUUGUUUUUUUAAGUGGCUAGAUUUUAGCCGUGUUCUCUCACCAAACUGACAUCUAUCCAGUGUGCCUAAUGGAAAUUUAUGUUUGGUGCAUGUAACAUCUUAAAGACAUUUAUAAAUCACAGCGGGGUAAUCGGAAAUUACAUCAGCAUUUUAUUAAAUUUUAAUAUCAUGAAAGAUCACACAAAUAACUGCUCAUCGCCAGUAGAGUGUAUAUUUACAACAUUUCAUGACAUCCACAGUAUAGGCAGUAAGCUAUAUUGCUCUAAAACAAUAGGUAUUGGGGCUACAGUGAAAGACAAAAUGUAGAUAUAAGUUUUUCUUUGAGCUUUUAUUUUGUCUCAUCGGCAUAUUACACCGACAUAAAAUCUAAAUCCAGUCUCC